rnacentral:SRP_RNA from 1 species
GCUGGGUGUGGUGGCUCACACCUGUAAUCCCAGCACUUUGGGAGGCCGAGGCGGGUGGAUCACUUGAGGUCAGGAGUUUGAGAGCAGCCUGGCCAACAUGGUGAGACCCCGUCUUUA